rnacentral:rRNA from 1 species
AAUGAACGCUGGCGGCAUGCCUUACACAUGCAAGUCGAACGGCAGCAUGACCUAUCUUGCUAGGUUGAUGGCGAGUGGCGAACGGGUGAGUAAUGCAUCGGAACGUGCCUUUUAGUGGGUGAUAACGUAGCGAAAGUUACGCUAAUACCUCAUAUUCUCUGAUGCGGAAAGCAGGGGGCCUUCUUGCCUUGCGCUAGGAGAGCGGCCGAUGUCGUAUUAGCUAGUUGGGGAGGUAAACGGUCACCAAGUCAACGAUCCGUAGCGGGUCUGAGAGGAUGAUACGCCACCCUGGGACUGAGACACGGACCAGACUACUGCGGGAGGCCGCAGUGGGGAAUUUUGGACAAUGGGCGCAAGCCUGAUACAGCCAUGCGGAGUGAGUGAAGAAGGCCUUCGGGUUGUAAAGAUCUUUCGGCUGGGAAGAAAUCGCACUCUCUAAUACAGGGUGUGGAUGACGGUACCAGAAUAAGAAGCACCGGCUAACUACGUG